rnacentral:rRNA from 1 species
CAGCAGCCGCGGUAAUACGAGGGGGGCAAGCGUUGUUCGGAAUUAUUGGGCGUAAAGGGUGCGUAGGCGGUUUGGUAAGUCUUGUGUGAAAUCCUCGGGCUCAACUCGAAGUCUGCACGAGAAACUGCCGGGCUUGAGUGUGGGAGAGGUGAGUGGAAUUUCCGGUGUAGCGGUGAAAUGCGUAGAUAUCGGAAGGAACACCUGUGGCGAAAGCGGCUCACUGGACCAUAACUGACGCUGAUGCACGAAAGCUAGGGGAGCAAACAGGAUUAGAUACCCCCGUAGUCCCUGUCUCUUAUAC